rnacentral:tRNA from 1 species
ACUUAUAUAGUAUAUUAGUAUAUUUGACUUCCAAUCAGAAGGGCUAAAAAUUUUUUAGUGUAAGUA